UUCUCACCUGCAAUGUCAUAAAGUGUGAGGACAAAACUGUGCUGUUAUGGAAACUGUAUGCUGAUCCUGUUAAGCUCUGUGUUGUUGAAUAUUUUCUAAUUUAUAAGAAUUUUCAGUUCAGGUUUGUUCCUAAUCUACUCUUUGAGUUAAAAAGGAAAGCUUACUGGCAACUCUGAGCAGCUCUUCCAUCGAAUCAGGGCUAGAAGUGCCUGAGUAGGACUUCAUGGGUUUCUUUCUCAAGUGAGAGUGGAAAAACUGGGUGCCCUCGUGUCUUUUGGAAUUUCCUUUACAAUUCCUGGUGCUUUCAGCAGAAUGAAGAGCCAUUUGGCCGUCCUCAGCAGCGAUGUUGACAUCCAUUGCACAUCUAGUUAAAAUAUCAGCCUUGCAUAUCUCACUCUUCUCUGUAGCCUCUGGACCUGUAAAC